rnacentral:rRNA from 1 species
AAUGAACGCUGGCGGCGUGCUUAACACAUGCAAGUCGAGCGAGAAAGUCUCUUCGGAGAUUAGUACAGCGGCGGACGGGUGAGUAAUACACAGGAACCUGCCCUUUGGUGAGGAAUACUCUUGAGAAAUCGAGAAUAAUACCGCAUAAGUCCCUACGGGGAGAAAGGCGGCUUUAAUGCUGUCGUCAGAGGAUGGGCUUGUGUGCUAUCAGCUAGUUGGUGGGGUAAAGGCCUACCAAGGCUAUGACGGCUAACCGGCCUGAGAGGGUGUACGGUCACACUGGAACUGAGACACGGUCCAGACUCCUACGGGAGGCUG